UGGGGAAUAUUGGACAAUGGGGGCAACCCUGAUCCAGCCAUGCCGCGUGAAUGAUGAAGGCCUUCGGGUUGUAAAAUUCUUUUGGUGGGGACGAUGAUGACGGUACCCACAGAAUAAGCUCCGGCUAACUUCGUGCCAGCAGCCGCGGUAAUACGAAGGGGGCUAGCGUUGUUCGGAAUUACUGGGCGUAAAGGGCGCGUAGGCGGCUUGAUAAGUUGGAUGUGAAAUCCCCGGGCUCAACCCGGGAAUUGCAUUCAAGACUAUCUUGCUUGAAUUCGGUAGAGGUUGGUGGAAUUCCCAGUGUAGAGGUGAAAUUCGUAGAGAUUGGGAAGAAUAUCCGUGGCGAAGGCGGCCAACUGGACCGACAUUGACGCUGAGGCGCGAAAGCGUGGGGAGCAAACA
rnacentral:rRNA from 1 species